rnacentral:lncRNA from 1 species
AGCGUUGAAAGCUUAGGCUUCAAAGGAUAAAACUGAAAUCAGUGGCCUAGAGUUCUUUAGCCAGAUACUCUCUGAAUCACUGCAAACCUCUGGGGGUUUAACAGGAAUGACAGAAAGGAACAACGUUCACCCUCCAUUGGUGAAAGGGGCUGCUUGAGAGGACAGCCAGGAUAUGAUUGACAGGCAUGCUCAUUAGACUAAACAACUGGCAACUCAGUGCAUGAAGGAAGGACCAUUCCAAAAUGCAAAUUUGGAGCUCCCAUCAGCUGGAGAUCUGCAAGUCGAGUUGUUGCUUUUCUACUCCAGCAAGAAUAUUAGCUAAGUACAAGAAGCCAGAUCCUGACAUUGUGAAAAGAAAAGAAUAUGGACCUGAAGAUUAUACCGAGCAUCUUCAGUAUCCACAGUCUUGCAGCUGCCAGGAAACGCUUUGUAACCCGUGUUUCUGUGAACAGAAAGAGUGCGGGAAGACCAGGGGCUGGAGCCAAAAAGGUUUUGCGCCGCUUCCUCCGAGGAAGAGUCCGGCCGCGGGCGCUCCGCUAGAGGGAGGCAGAGGAGCGGCGCUGGGACACGGAGCAUCCUGCGGGGCCGGCGCUUUGCCAGCCCGGCUUUGCUUUUCCCGGCUUUUUGCCCCACUGGAAGCAUUGCCCGACGGCCUUUCUUUGGGAGGGAUGCCCUCUUGGUAACCGGCAUGCUAAACUCUCCCUUUUUACCUUUGCAAAGGCUGUUGGAAGAGAUGCAGAGGUGGCUCCUGCCAAAGCGUUUGGGAUACGGUCAGAAUAUACAAAAUGCAGCACCGCCGCGUAUGGUAUAUGAAUCCUUUUGGUAGGCUGGCAGCGAGCCAGGUGCUGGGAUAAUUUCUCCCUUAUUCCUGCUAGGGAAUGUAUGACUGGGCAUUUGUAUGGUGCUCGUGAAAGGAGAAAGUUUCUCUUCAGGCCAGGCAUGGAGCAGGCAUCUGCAGUUCGCAUUUCCUUGUGUUGUUUUGCCAAUGCCAUCAAUCUAUACCACCCUUUAUAAGGGGGAGAGGCAAUGUGAGAACAGUAGAGUUGCUACCUUAAAUCAAAAUAAACAAACAACGACAGAUUAAGCUGGCA